UACAGAAACUGGAAGCCUUCAUUGCAAGAAACUCGAUUAGGGCGCGAAUGAAGAGACGGCACAGAGGAGCCUCUAUGGUGAAUAUGCUGAGGUUCUUCUGGUGAAAUCCUUGAAGUUCCACAUCGAAUUGAUCCUCCGUUGGAGCUUAGGUAUUUCGCGUACGUUAGGAGGAGGAAGGCUGCUGAAGUUACAUAUUGCAGGUUAAGCUGAUGAGUAACUACGCCCUCCAAGAAGCUUAUGCUGAAACUGAUGUUCUUGCUAGAGACGAAUAUGGGAGGAGUUAGCAACAAAGAAUGGCUUACAUUUUGCACUGUUAGGUGAGAUUUAGUUGAGGUACGCACAAGCUCGUCCAAAUAUUUAGGAGUCAUCAUUUGUCGGAUGGUGUUGAUUUUAGGCUUAAAUUGAUAUAAAAAUUUGAUAUGUUUGGUUUCCGUUCAGGGUUAUGUGAAGCUGACCGACCACGUUGGUCCUUGGUCUUCUAUAAACUUUGUAAUCUACUCGUUUUGUUAGAGUAAUAGUGCUUUGUAUCGAGCGAAUAUUGAAAGAUUUGGAAAAAAACAUACGUUUUUAUGCACAAAUUUAG